CAAAGGGGGAUUGCUUUUAUUUGGAUACACACAAUCAACAUGUUAUGUAAUUCAAAAUAUGAGUUACCAACGAAAAGGUUUAGAUCAGCUAUGGAGACCUACAGAAAGGCAGUUUGCCAACCCUGUGAAUGAAGAGAAGAGGCUGCACAAAACCAGGCAGAAAGAAACAUGUAAGACUCAGUGAUUCUAGCACACGGCUAUAAGGUAUUGAUAGAAUAUAUUGUAACGUUGUGAUUGAACUGGGGACAUAAGUGAUUACUAAAGUCACAGUAGUUAUUAGAAUGAUUAGAAACGCUUUUCUCUUUAUGUGAUUUUCUUCAUCUCUCUGUCUUCCUCUCUCUCCAGGUCCGGGCUUCUUCAGAGCUCUGAGAACAGCCAAACAGCAGAACAGGUUUAUGGUGAGGAAAACUGUGUAGUGUACCAGAAAUGUAAGGCUGUCUUCAGUGCAUCAGUGAUCAGUGCAGUUCUCACACAGAGUAUACAGCGCUGGAUAUGUUGCAUGUCAGUUUUAUUAUUCUAUGCAAAUUUGGCAUUGCUUGCACCAUGCUUUACUGCAUGAGCCAAUGCUUUACAUAGGACAGCAAUACAUACUUUUUGUGGACAAUGUAAUGUUCAGCAGGGGUACUGAUAUAAAAUUAAACUAAUUUUGCAAACAUAUUUUAUAACAUCAGUUAUAUUUUAGAUUAUAGAGUAACUUUUAUUUAUAAAUAUGAUGUGAUGGCUCUUACAAUACCAUUUAAAUGACCUACAAAUACAGACAUUUACACACCAACACAUUUUCAUAAGAUGUAUUAAUGAGUAUCAUACAGAGAAGGUUGACAUCUUCACGGCAGCUGUAUGAAAAUCAGAGGACAGGGCAAUUGUUUUUAUUGGAGUACACAAACAUUGAAC
ensembl:lncRNA